rnacentral:rRNA from 1 species
UACGUAGGGGGCAAGCGUUGUCCGGAAUCAUUGGGCGUAAAGCGCGUGUAGGCGGCCCGAUAAGUCCGCUGUGAAAGUCCAGGGCUCAACCCUGGGAUGCCGGUGGAUACUGUCGGGCUCGAGUCCGGAAGAGGCGAGUGGAAUUCCUGGUGUAGCGGUGAAAUGCGCAGAUAUCGGGAAGAACACCCGUGGCGAAGGCGGCUCUCUGGGACGGUACUGACGCUGAGACGCGAAAGCGUGGGGAGCGAACAGG